rnacentral:rRNA from 1 species
GGUGGGGAUGACGUCAAGUCAUCAUGGCCCUUAUGUCCAGGGCGACACACGUGCUACAAUGGCCGGCACAACGGGAAGCGAGUUCGCGAGGACGAGCGGAUCCCUCAAAGCCGGUCGCAGUUCGGAUUGAAGUCUGCAACUCGACUUCAUGAAGCUGGAAUCGCUAGUAAUCGUGGAUCAGCCAAGCCGCGGUGAAUACCGUUCCCGGGCCUU